rnacentral:rRNA from 1 species
AUUGAACGCUGGCGGCAUGCCUUACACAUGCAAGUCGAACGGCAGCGGGGGAGAAGCUUGCUUUUCCUGCCGGCGAGUGGCGAACGGGUGAGUAAUACAUCGGAACGUGCCCUGUAGUGGGGGAUAACUAGUCGAAAGAUUAGCUAAUACCGCAUACGACCUGAGGGUGAAAGUGGGGGACCGCAAGGCCUCAUGCUAUAGGAGCGGCCGAUGUCUGAUUAGCUAGUUGGUGGGGUAAAGGCCUACCAAGGCGACGAUCAGUAGCUGGUCUGAGAGGACGAUCAGCCACACUGGGACUGAGACACGGCCCAGACUCCUACGGGAGGUAGCAGUGGGGAAUUUUGGACAAUGGGCGAAAGCCUGAUCCAGCAAUGCCGCGUGUGUGAAGAAGGCCUUCGGGUUGUAAAGCACUUUUGUCCGGAAAGAAAUGGCUCUGGUUAAUACCUGGGGUCGAUGACGGUACCGGAAGAAUAAGCACCGGCUAACUACGUGCCAGCCGCCGCCGUAAGAC